CACUCUAGUGGCUAAGUGGUUAGAGCAUCCACCUCGGAUGCAGGAGGUCAUGGGUUCAAAUCUUGGCUGAGUCA